AAAUGUGGAAAGAAAUCCCGUAAGUAAGGUCACAGAAUUUGGAGACCGUUGUUGUGCAAUGUGACAAUCUCAACUAAGCCACAGCCCACUAGCACCCUGCUGGCCUGGCCCUCCAGCAUCUAUGCCUCUUGCAUGCCUUGUGCCUCGGGAGUCAGCCCUGGGCGGGAGGGCCAGCCCUUGUCUUUCAACCUUCCUUUUCAGAAGGAUUCUGUUUUCGGCUCCCUGUGUACUCUGAGUCACUGACACCCCGCAGACAGGUAGGGCAUUCUUUAGAGUAUCAGGGCAUCUUAAAAUUGGAGUUAAAGUCAGCAGUAACCUCAUCUGGAGUUUAAUGCCAUCAAGGAAUCAGGAACAUGGGGGGGGGGGGGUGGAAAGAGAGCUGGCAGAAGCAGGCACACACUCCAUGUGCCCAGGGACAUGUGACACAUUUGCCAGCACAUACAUGCCCACAGGUCUUCUGAGCCUCUUGUGUGGGUGACAGCAGUUCUAGACAGAGGCACCUUGGGCAGAAGUCUGCAGGGAACCAGCCAGCCACCCUGACAACCAGCGUGACAAAUGUCAAACAGCCUGCACCUCCAAUCAGAGCUGAGCCAUUCCGGAGGGGUCAGAGACAGUGAUGCUGGAAGUGGCCUUGCAACGCAGUGACAUUCAGUCUCUGGCAGCCAACUGAAAUUGGAUCCUUAGAGGCCACAUCACUCCUGCCCAAGGCCACCCUGACCAGGCAGCCUGAACCCUGAUCAUGGCUAUGGCUGAGGAACCCGUGACGCUCCACCCCUGCAGGGGCUGAAUAAGGAAAACUGUCUCUGUAGUGGUUUGAAUAUGCUUGGCCCCUGGGAAGCUGUACCAUUACGAGGCGUGACCCUAUUGGAACAGGUAUGACCUUACUGGAGGAAGGCUGGCACUGUGGAGGUUGGCUUUGAGGACCUAUGCUCAUGUUCUGCCCAGCGCAGAAGCGAGACCCUCCUCCUGGCUGUCUGCAAAAGAUAGUCCUCUCCUGGCCGACUAUGUAUCAAGAUGUAGAACUCUGGCUCCUCCAGCGCCAUGUCUGCCUGCAGGCUGCCAUGCUUCACUCCAUGACGAUAAUGACUGAACCUCUGAAACUAAGCCAGCCCCGACUGUAUGCUGUCCUUUAUAAGAGUUGCCCUGGUCAUGCAUGGUAUGUUUUCACAUUGAUAAAACCCAAACUGAGAACCUGUUUACAGACUAAAUAAUACGGUCUCCAGAAAAUGGCAAGGAAUCUAUAAGUACAGGUUGUUAAGGUUAAAAUAUAAGUUAUAUUUCUAGUGCCAGUCAGAUGACUCGGUGGGUGGAGAGUCCUUGCUGCCUAGCCUGAUGAGCUGAGAUCAAUGUCUGGUACUCACAUGUAAAAAGGGAAAUGGACUACGGAAAGCUGUCAUCUGGGGGCUGGAGAGAUGGCUCAGCAGUUAAGAGCACUGGCUGCUCUUCCAGAGGUCCUGAGUUCAAUUCCCAGCAACUACAUGGUGGCUCACAACCAUCUGUAAUGGGAUCUGAUGCCCGCUUCUGGUGUGUCUGUAGACAUCAACAGUGUACUCAUAUAUGUAAAAUAAAUAAAUCUUAAAAAAAAAAAAGCUGUCAUCUGACUAUUUGACUUAUAUACACCUGAUAUAGCACACACACACACACACACACACACACACACACACGUGAAGCUAAAGAGAUGGCUCAGCAUUUUAGAGUCCUUAUUUUGCUUGCAGAGG